GACGCACGCUGGCGGCGUGCUUAACACAUGCAAGUCGAGCGGAGCGGCGAACGGGUGCGUAACGCGUGAGUAACUGCCCCCCUCUCUGGGAUACCAGUUGGAAACGGCUGCUAAUACCGGAUAUUUGGGGAUGACUCGCGUCCUAUCAGCUUGUUGGUGGGGUCGUGGCCUCCCAAGGCGACGACGGUGAGCCGUCCUGAGAGGUGGACCGGCCACAUUGGGCUGAGAUACUGCCCGAACUCCUACGUGGGGCAGCAGGGGGGAAUAUUGCACAAUGGGGGAAACCCUGAUGCAGCAACGCGCGUGCGGUAUGACGGCUUUCGGGUUGUAAACCGCUUUCAGCCAUGACGCGGUAGUGGCAGAAGAAGCACCGGCUAACUACGUGCCAGCAGCCGCGGUAAUUC
rnacentral:rRNA from 1 species